rnacentral:rRNA from 1 species
UACGUAGGUGGCGAGCGUUGUCCGGAUUUACUGGGAGUAAAGGGAGCGUAGGCGGACUUUUAAGUGAGAUGUGAAAUACCCGAGCUCAACUUGGGUGCUGCAUUUCAAACUGGAAGUCUAGAGUGCAGGAGAGGAGAAUGGAAUUCCUAGUGUAGCGGUGAAAUGCGUAGAGAUUAGGAAGAACACCAGUGGCGAAGGCGAUUCUCUGGACUGUAACUGACGCUGAGGCUCGAAAGCGUGGGGAGCAAACAGGAUUAGAUA